CGGCAACCCAGGUGCCACGGCGCCCGGAGUGCCGAGCAAAAGCGCGUGCCAUUCGGAGGUGCCGGUCGAAGGCACCAUGCUCGUCCCAGACAGAUUCGCCAUGUUUCUGCUGCUUUACGGACAGGAGGUGAUCGAGCGGCCCGCCCCUGGUGACACGCAGGGGAGCGCCAGGGGCCGGGCACCGCGGACGCAGAACCUGCCGGACUGUACCGUUGACGACCUGCACGAACGACCGCGGCAAUCCACGGAAAAAACGAAUCGUUGCGAGAGAGGAAAAACCGACUGCCUCUAAGAGAACCUGUCUCUAGUGGAACACUCGGUGCAGCUGUUAUUGUUGCGAAUCGAAAUGUAGUCUGGAAUCUUUAUCUUCAAAACAGACGAAAGAUAACGUUUUGAAAAUGUGACUAAAAUGCUUGCCACCUCCAUGCGUAACCGAAUCUACCCCCCUGUAUGUCUGGUUAAAUCUAAUGUAUCAAAUCAGAUCGAUCUCUCAAGUGCGAGUCAGUCUAUCCCUUCAACCCAAACCCGACCAGUCCGUCUAAAGCUACAAUCACACCCACACCUGCAGUUGCCUUAACACAACAAGAAUCUCGUGGCUGCCUCUUCCGGGAAUUCCAGCCUCGUGGUCGAUCGCGCGGCAGCCGUCACUGCGACCUUGGGUAAGGAACUGACCUCGGAUAUUGCCUUCCUGGAUCAUAUGGACUGAGAAAAACAAUGUCAAGUUCGGCUGGUGCACGGCUGACCUUGGCAGUCGACAGGAAAAAGAGUUUGCGCUCGUCCUCCAAGCCAGAGUGAGAGUGAACCCUGGGUUCCAGAAGGAACAUUCUGGGUUUAUUAUGUCUAUACACUGAAUAUCACCGUGCUUUCAGUAGGUGUCAUAUAUAUACUGUAUAUGUAUAUAUAUAUAUAUAUAUAUAUAUAUAUAUAUAUAUAUAUAAUCUUUAUGUGACACGGUUAACUUCAUAGCUUUUUGUAAAUAUAAAAUGCUUUCAUCUUGGGGAACCUGCCUCGGUGCAAGAGUGACAUAUCCGCUACUCGGACGGUGGCGAAGUGGGGCUUUUUUGUGGUGAUGCCAUUAACGUCUUUCCCUCUGGGCAUCUUCUCGCCCCUUUCUUUGUCUCAUCACGUCGCGAGGAGGCGAAGGGCAAGGCUGCCACAUUUAAGUCGCACGUUGAACUUUUAUUACCUUUUGAGCGUCGCCCCGCCGUCCAUAGCGACGCCCAAGAGGCGAUCAGGCCCGGCCUUGGUACCGGAAGGGCCAGCUCGCUCUUGCAGGCCAGAAGGACACAUCUUUUCCCCAGGAAGAAAUGUCUCCUGUAGAACUUUUAUGCGGUCUUUUUUGUCCGGGUACAAAGCCUUUGCACAACAUGAAGCACAAGCUUCUUCUCUCCUCUGUUUACAAAUUUGCCUGAUUGUACAUGAUCCUAGAAGGUUAAUAAAUACAAUCCGCAAGGGAAACAAGCACAGGUCAAAGUGAAGUUACUGAAAGGCACCGGCAGAUCGGGUUCUAAGAUCUAUCUGAAGAUCUAGACCACGGGAUUUUACUGUCCAGUAAUAUGAAAAAAUAUGGAUGUAUGACGACUGGUAAUUUUACGUCCACACUCCAUAAUGUUAGUCCCACUUCACACGCCAUUUGUUCGAUGGACGCACGAUCAGUCCAAUCUAGAAACACGAAAUUCAGGCUAUGAUGGUCACGAAACCCCACCACCUUACAAAGUGUAAAAGACACGUGGAGGGGGAUAUAUCACUAAAAAAAUAAUAAUGGAAGAUGUAACAAGAUUAUCAGCCAGCUACACGCAGAGGGACGGGCAUGUCUCGCCAGAAAAACACAGGUGGAGGUAGAGACAGCGCAACGGCUCAGCACAACGAAGAGAGUCAAGCAAGAAGACGCAAGAGAAGAGAAGACAGCUGAGUCCCAGUGUUACCACAGGAGAAAAAAGCAGACUUGAGGUGCAUCUGGAAGAGCUUGCAUGAUAGCUUUGUUUGUUCGAUUGCAUGCAUGACAAACAUACAAUCGGAUUCCAAAUUUGAGCUUAAAACAUCCUUCUAGACUUUCAUGAUCACAAUAUUUCUUUUCGCCAAGUCCUUCGAAAAUAUGCCGUAUCGAUCGAAUAAAAAAACACUUACAGCCUUCGGUAUUCCUCAAGCAAUACCUCGAGGACUGGGAAUGGGAUCGCCAAUAAAUUCCUGUGGUAUAAGCUUUAUACCAAGCGUGGAGUUAGAAUUUUGUCCAAUAAAUCCACAAUCUUCGACAUUCUGUGGCAAUGUUGUGAGGUUUGUGUAGGACAGGUGAGCGUGGCUUCGUUGGACACCUUUCUAAAUAGAUGAAUAAAAGGAGUAGUUACUUCACUCUUCAGAUUAUGAUUAGCCUGAAAUCGAUCGCUAUGUAUGGAAGAAGUAUAAGGUGCUAAUAAAGACAGCAAACCAGAAA
rnacentral:lncRNA from 1 species